rnacentral:rRNA from 1 species
GUAGGUGAACCUGCGGAAGNAUAUU